rnacentral:rRNA from 1 species
GAGGAAUAUUGGUCCAUGGGCGAGAGCCUGAACCAGCCAAGUCGCGUGAAGGAAGACUGCCUUAUGGGUUGUAAACUUCUUUUAUACAGGAAUAAAAAGGCUUACGUGUAGGCCAUUGCAAGUACUGUAUGAAUAAGCAUCGGCUAACUCCGUGCCAGCAGCCGCGGUAAUACGGAGGAUGCGAGCGUUAUCCGGAUUUAUUGGGUUUAAAGGGUGCGCAGGCGGGCUUUUAAGUCAGCGGUGAAAUCUGGACGCUUAACGUCCAAACUGCCGUUGAAACUGGGAGUCUUGAGUAUGGAUGAAGUAGGCGGAAUUCGUUGUGUAGCGGUGACAUGCGUAGAUAUAAGGAAGAACACCAGUGGCGAAGGCGGAUUACUGGACGAUAACUGACGGUGAGGCGCGAAAGCGUGGGGAGCAAACA